ACGCUCGACACCUACGGGAGGCAGCAGUGGGAAUAUUGCACAAUGGGGGAAACCCUGAUGCAGCGACGCCGCGUGAAGGAAGAAGUAUCUCGGUAUGUAAACUUCUAUCAGCAGGGAAGAAAGUGACGGUACCUGACUAAGAAGCCCCGGCUAACUACGUGCUAGCAGCCGCGGUAAUCUGAGCGGGCUGGCAAGGC
rnacentral:rRNA from 1 species